UACGUAGGGCGCAAGCGUUGUCCGGAAUUAUUGGGCGUAAAGAGCUCGUAGGCGGUUUGUCGCGUCUGCUGUGAAAACUGGAGGCUCAACCUCCAGCCUGCAGUGGGUACGGGCAGACUAGAGUGCGGUAGGGGAGAUUGGAAUUCCUGGUGUAGCGGUGGAAUGCGCAGAUAUCAGGAGGAACACCAAUGGCGAAUGCAGAUCUCUGGGCCGUAACUGACGCUGAGGAGCGAAAGCAUGGGGAGCGAACAGG
rnacentral:rRNA from 1 species